UCCUACGGGAGGCAGCAGUGGGGAAUAUUGCACAAUGGGCGCAAGCCUGAUGCAGCCAUGCCGCGUGUAUGAAGAAGGCCUUCGGGUUGUAAAGUACUUUCAGCGGGGAGGAAGGUGUUGUGGUUAACAACCGCAGCAAUUGACGUUACCCGCAGAAGAAGCACCGGCUAACUCCGUGCCAGCAGCCGCGGUAAUACGGAGGGUGCAAGCGUUAAUCGGAAUUACUGGGCGUAAAGCGCACGCAGGCGGUUUGUUAAGUCAGAUGUGAAAUCCCCGGGCUCAACCUGGGAACUGCAUUUGAAACUGGCAGGCUUGAGUCUCGUAGAGGGGG
rnacentral:rRNA from 1 species